rnacentral:tRNA from 1 species
GUCCCUGUGUAGCGCCAUGGAUAGCGCGUUGGACUUCUAAUCCAAAGGUUGUGGGUUCGAAUCCCACGUGGGAUG